rnacentral:rRNA from 1 species
GUAGGGAAUAUUGCGCAAUGGGGGAAACCCUGACGCAGCGACGCCGCGUGAGUGAUGAAGGCCUUCGGGUCGUAAAGCUCUGUUGCAGGGGAAUAAAAAAAUGAAGGUACCCUGUGAGGAAGGAUCGGCUAACUUCGUGCCAGCAGCCGCGGUAAGACGAGGGAUCCUAGCGUUGCUCGGAAUCAUUGGGCGUAAAGAGGGCGUAGGUGGCUUGGUAAGUCAGGUGUGAAAGCCCAGGGCUCAACCCUGGAAGUGCAUUUGAUACUGCUGAGCUUGAGUGUCGGAGAGGUUACCGGAAUACCUGGUGUAGUGGUGAAAUACGUAGAUAUCAGGUGGAACACCGGAGGCGAAGGCGGGUAACUGGACGAACACUGACACUGAGUCCCGAAAGCGUGGGGAUCAAACAGGAUUAGAUACCCCUGUAGUCC